UAACGGUUCGUAACACUCCCCAAACCAAGACCUAUAGGGUGUAUAAAAACGUCUUUAAUACCUCUGCCUAGGGCGCAGAGGAAUAGUAAAACCA
ncrna:unclassified sequences PhotoRC-II RNA